rnacentral:SRP_RNA from 1 species
GGCGGGAAUGCAGCAGCGAUGACCGAGGCCCGUAGGGUGGUCAGGU